ensembl:lncRNA
CCCCGCGGCGUCCCCGGGCUGCGUCCCGCUCGCCAGCGCAGAGCGCCGGGGCUCUGCCUGGCACCCGCACCUCAGCCGCACGCCGGAGAUACCAAGUCAAGAUGCAGUUUUAUUUACAGGGGCAGCCACAACCCACUAAUGGGAUACACAGACCUUACAACGGCUCAACUACCUGUACAGGAUGGAUUACGUAUGCAAAAAUAAAAGUCUCAAGCCCACGCAGUACAGUACGUCCCCCGUGCGACCGCUGGCGCCGGCCCUGCCGCAGGGGCAAGGACACGAACCCAAAGGGGCCGGGACACGUCCGACGCUGUCACAAACCAGCCCUCCCUGCGCCAGCCCCGUUAUCACCCUCUGUGGCUGGCCUUGCGCCAGUCCCUCGGACCCCAAAUUGUGGGCAAGGCUGGCGUGGCCGUCCCUGGGCCGAGGGGCUGUCACCCCCAGCCGUCCCCCGGUCGCCGUCCCCUCCCCAGCCGGGAAGCAGCAGUUGACAGGCCGGNNNNNNNNNNNNNNNNNGGGAGAGCUGCAGCCGGGUCCCCGAGCAGCCCUUUUGGCAAUGGACCUCCCCCCCCCAACAAUUUGGGGUGCCUGGGGCCAACGCCAGCACCGUCCAGAGGGAGCAGGGGUGUCCCAGGCCUCUGCGGGGCGCCCCUGCCUCCUGACCCCCCACCAUAGCAAUAUCCUUUAGCAGCAGUUUUAAAACAAAAGUGAACCUAGAAUUGAGAGCACCAUAAUUUGCAAGACCCAACUAAAGAACUGGCCAUGCUGCCUCCGCCGGGAGGGCACGGGGUGAGGACAGAUGGAGGACGGCUCCCCGCGGACGCUACGGCCCAAGUCCAGGUGUGAGACAGCCGGAGGGAUGGAGGGGGACGCGGCCAAGGGACGCAAGCUGAGCAAACCCCCGUCCCCGACAUGUGGCAAUGCCCAAGGGCACCCGGAUGUGCUCCUGCAUCUCCACGAUGGGAAAUAGCCAGAAGGGGGUUAAAACGAGGCUGCGAGAGGCACGGGGCUGGGGACCUGGAUCUGGCCAGAGGCAGCCCUGUGGCGCCGAGCGAGGGAGCAGAGGGACCGGUUCUCCCCGUGCCAGCACAGCGGGACCCCGGUCCCAGCACGGAGGCUACCCGGGGAGCCCUGUCCCUGCGGGCGCCCUUCAGCCCAAGCCCACAGGCCAUGCGGGGGGGACAAACAACAGCAAGAGCAAAAGCCACCACCCAAAGGACCUCCCCCCCUCAACUGCAGCAGCACGUCUCCAGACACACGAGGACGGGACAUAGACCUGCCUGGGGCCACCGGCCUGAGGACAAGGGGAGGGGAGGAAUCGGCCUCGAAGCUGGGCUGCGCGUCCCCCCUGUUGCUCUGCGGACGAGCGGGUACAGUGCGUUUUCCAGCCUAACCAGGCACCCCCAGCAGAUUGGGAUCUCCCUUCCCCCAAAUGGCAGGGUCCACCCGAGCAGCCCCCCCCAACCCGACACAGUCCCAGACGCCCCCCCACGAACAGCCCCAAAAACAAAGGAACUACCCCAAAGAAUGCAACAUGCAGAAACCCCUCCGGGACCCUCGGCCAGGGCAGCCGAGACGUGGGGCAAGCCCAGCGCAGGCCCCAAACGCCCACCAGCAUCCGAAUCCAGCUCAUUACAGCGGAUUCGGGGUUGGGGGUGGGUCCCUAUUUGUCUGCUCUGAGCAAGGAAAAGCUCCCCCAACGCGCUCACCCCAUCCUGAGCCAGCCCGACCAGCGAGCACCAGCCCGAGGCACCGAGGGCGGCACCAACUCUGGGCCAGGCACUGACCCCAAACUGAUGGGGCAAGAGGAAAUCUGCCCCAAACACCCACCCCACCAGCCUGGUCCAGACCUGCCCUGGAGACCCGAACCUGCCCCAGUUCCCCCUUCUCCAGCCGGGGGAAGGGGUGCUCUGGAGGAGUGAGCAUGGGAGGUGGUUGCAGCUGGUUUUUGGGUCAGUGGUACAAAGGGAAGGGGGUUUGUGCCCUCGUCUCUGAGCGAGACGCCCCCCCCUUAGAGCCCUGAUCAGACCCCCCACGUACAAAAACUACGUCACAGAAUAAAUAGAGGCACCGAGAGGGAGGCA